rnacentral:lncRNA from 1 species
AGAUAUAAUUUUUCACGGAUUGAGAAGGAAGUUUCUGAAGAGAGUACACUUGAUCUAAAAGAUCAUCAACAUACCAAUUCUGGGAAAACUCACAAGCAUCAUUUGUGGAGGCACUAUCAUCAUCGACUUGAGAGGUGGGAAAUUGUGGAGAAAGAUCACAAAAGUUGUCUUGUGAUUCAUUAGAACAAUCAUAAGAGGGAGGAUCAAGCCACCAUUUGGGAUCGUAUGGAGAAGAGUGAAAAUCUGAGUAUGGAGAGAAUUGAUUUUCCACCAUGGAAUCGUAUGGAGAAGACUAAAUGUGCAGCAGGGGUAUUUAUUGAUGGAACACUGAUCUAGAGAGAAAAUUAGACUAAACAAAGAUACAACGAAGGGAAUUUAG